UUAAGUGACUAAGCGUACACGGUGGAUGCCCUGGCAGUCAGAGGCGAUGAAGGACGUGCUAAUCUGCGAAAAGCGUCGGUAAGGUGAUAUGAACCGUUAUAACCGGCGAUGUCCGAAUGGGGAAACCCAGUGCAAUUCGUUGCACUAUCGUUAACUGAAUACAUAGGUUAACGAGGCGAACCGGGGGAACUGAAACAUCUAAGUACCCCGAGGAAAAGAAAUCAACCGAGAUUCCCCAGUAGCGGCGAGCGAACGGGGAGCAGCCCAGAGUCUGAAUCAGCUUGUGUGUUAGUGGAACGGUCUGGAAAGUCCGACGGUACAGGGUGAUAGUCCCGUACACCAAAAUGCACAGGUUGUGAACUCGAAGAGUAGGGCGGGACACGUGGUAUCCUGUCUGAAUAUGGGGGGACCAUCCUCCAAGGCUAAAUACUCCUGACUGACCGAUAGUGAACCAGUACCGUGAGGGAAAGGCGAAAAGAACCCCGGCGAGGGGAGUGAAAAAGAACCUGAAACCGUGUACGUACAAGCAGUGGGAGCACCUUCGGGUGUGACUGCGUACCUUUUGUAUAAUGGGUCAGCGACUUAUAUUCUGUAGCAAGGUUAACCGUAUAGGGGAGCCGCAGGGAAACCGAGUCUUAACUGGGCGUUAAGUUGCAGGGUAUAGACCCGAAACCCGGUGAUCUAGCCAUGGGCAGGUUGAAGGUUGGGUAACACUAACUGGAGGACCGAACCGACUAAUGUUGAAAAAUUAGCGGAUGACUUGUGGCUGGGGGUGAAAGGCCAAUCAAACCGGGAGAUAGCUGGUUCUCCCCGAAAGCUAUUUAGGUAGCGCCUCGUGAAUUCAUCUUCGGGGGUAGAGCACUGUUUCGGCUAGGGGGUCAUCCCGACUUACCAACCCGAUGCAAACUACGAAUACCGAAGAAUGUUAUCACGGGAGACACACGGCGGGUGCUAACGUCCGUCGUGAAGAGGGAAACAACCCAGACCGCCAGCUAAGGUCCCAAAGUCAUGGUUAAGUGGGAAACGAUGUGGGAAGGCACAGACAGCCAGGAUGUUGGCUUAGAAGCAGCCAUCAUUUAAAGAAAGCGUAAUAGCUCACUGGUCGAGUCGGCCUGCGCGGAAGAUGUAACGGGGCUAAACCAUGCACCGAAGCUGCGGCAGCGACACUAUGUGUUGUUGGGUAGGGGAGCGUUCUGUAAGCCUGCGAAGGUGACCUGUGAGGGUUGCUGGAGGUAUCAGAAGUGCGAAUGCUGACAUAAGUAACGAUAAAGCGGGUGAAAAGCCCGCUCGCCGGAAGACCAAGGGUUCCUGUCCAACGUUAAUCGGGGCAGGGUGAGUCGACCCCUAAGGCGAGGCCGAAAGGCGUAGUCGAUGGGAAACAGGUUAAUAUUCCUGUACUUGGUGUUACUGCGAAGGGGGGACGGAGAAGGCUAUGUUAGCCGGGCGACGGUUGUCCCGGUUUAAGCAUGUAGGCUGGUUGUCCAGGCAAAUCCGGAUAAUCAAGGCUGAGGUGUGAUGACGAGGCACUACGGUGCUGAAGUAACAAAUGCCCUGCUUCCAGGAAAAGCCUCUAAGCAUCAGGUAACAUUAAAUCGUACCCCAAACCGACACAGGUGGUCAGGUAGAGAAUACCAAGGCGCUUGAGAGAACUCGGGUGAAGGAACUAGGCAAAAUGGUGCCGUAACUUCGGGAGAAGGCACGCUGGUGUGUAGGUGAAGUCCCUGCGGAUGGAGCUGAGACCAGUCGAAGAUACCAGCUGGCUGCAACUGUUUAUUAAAAACACAGCACUGUGCAAACACGAAAGUGGACGUAUACGGUGUGACGCCUGCCCGGUGCCGGAAGGUUAAUUGAUGGGGUUAUCCGUAAGGAGAAGCUCUUGAUCGAAGCCCCGGUAAACGGCGGCCGUAACUAUAACGGUCCUAAGGUAGCGAAAUUCCUUGUCGGGUAAGUUCCGACCUGCACGAAUGGCGUAAUGAUGGCCAGGCUGUCUCCACCCGAGACUCAGUGAAAUUGAACUCGCUGUGAAGAUGCAGUGUACCCGCGGCAAGACGGAAAGACCCCGUGAACCUUUACUAUAGCUUGACACUGAACAUUGAGCCUUGAUGUGUAGGAUAGGUGGGAGGCUUUGAAGCGUGGACGCCAGUCUGCGUGGAGCCAACCUUGAAAUACCACCCUUUAAUGUUUGAUGUUCUAACGUUGGCCCCUGACCGGGGUUGCGGACAGUGUCUGGUGGGUAGUUUGACUGGGGCGGUCUCCUCCCAAAGCGUAACGGAGGAGCACGAAGGUUAGCUAAUCCUGGUCGGACAUCAGGAGGUUAGUGCAAUGGCAUAAGCUAGCUUGACUGCGAGCGUGACGGCGCGAGCAGGUGCGAAAGCAGGUCAUAGUGAUCCGGUGGUUCUGAAUGGAAGGGCCAUCGCUCAACGGAUAAAAGGUACUCCGGGGAUAACAGGCUGAUACCGCCCAAGAGUUCAUAUCGACGGCGGUGUUUGGCACCUCGAUGUCGGCUCAUCACAUCCUGGGGCUGAAGUAGGUCCCAAGGGUAUGGCUGUUCGCCAUUUAAAGUGGUACGCGAGCUGGGUUUAGAACGUCGUGAGACAGUUCGGUCCCUAUCUGCCGUGGGCGCUGGAGAAUUGAGGGGGGCUGCUCCUAGUACGAGAGGACCGGAGUGGACGCAUCACUGGUGUUCGGGUUGUCAUGCCAAUGGCACUGCCCGGUAGCUAAAUGCGGAAGAGAUAAGUGCUGAAAGCAUCUAAGCACGAAACUUGCCCCGAGAUGAGUUCUCCCUGAGACUUUAAGUCUCCUGAAGGAACGUUGAAGACGACGACGUUGAUAGGCCGGGUGUGUAAGCGCAGCGAUGCGUUGAGCUAACCGGUACUAAUGAACCGUGAGGCUUAACCUU
rnacentral:rRNA from 1 species